AGCGAACGUUUGCGGCGGGCUUAACACAUGCAAGUCGAACGAGAAUCCCUUCGGGGAGGAAAGUGGCGCACGGGUGCGUAACACGUGGAUAACCAACCCAUUGGUUUGGGACAACACCGGGAAACUGGUGCUAAUACCAGAUGUGUCGCAGCUGUCUUCAGGCGGUUGCGAGAAAGGCCCGCAAGGGUCGCCAACGGACGGGUCCGCGUCCCAUCAGCUAGUUGGUGAGGUAAUGGCUCACCAAGGCAAAGACGGGUAGCUGGUCUGAGAGGAUGAUCAGCCACACUGGAACUGAGACACGGUCCAGACUCCUACCGGGAGGCAGCAGUGGGGAAUAUUGCGCAAUGGGCGAAAGCCUGACGCAGCCACGCCGCGUGAGCGAUGAAGGUCUUCGGAUCGUAAAGCUCUGUGGGGGGAGAGAAGAAAGCCGGUGAAGAGCCGGCCCUGACGGUAUCCCCUUAGCAAGCACCGGCUAACUCCGUGCCAGCAGCCGCGGUAAUGUAC
rnacentral:rRNA from 1 species